CUCAUAGCGUAUAUUAAUGUUGUUGCAGUUAAAAAGCUCGUAGUUGGAUUCCUGACCUGGGGUAGCCGGUCCGCCUUGCAAAAGGUGCGCACUGAGCGGCCUCGGUCAUCCUUGAGAAGAGCGGUCCUGGCAUUCAGUUGUCGGGGUCGGGAUUCUCGACGUUUACUGUGAAAAAAUCAGAGUGUUCAACGCAGGCUUACGCCUUGAAUACAUUAGCAUGGAAUAAUGAGAUAGGACCUUGGCGGUCUAUUUUGUUGGUUUGCACGCCGAGGUAAUGAUUAAAAGGGACGGUUGGGGUUCUUCGUAUUCAAUUGUCAGAGGUGAAAUUCUUGGAUUUAUGGAAGACGAACUGCUGCGAAAGCGUCGAACAAGGACGUUCUCAUUAAUCAAGAACGAAAGUUAGGGGAUCGAAGAUGAUUAGAUACCAUCGUAGUCUUAACCAUAAACUAUGCCGAUUCAGGAUUGGCGGUCGUUUGUUCUCGACUCCGUCAGCACUGUAUGAGAAAUCAAAAUCUUUGGGUUCCGGGGGGAGUAUGGUCGCAAGGCUGAAACUUAAAGAAAUUGACGGAAGGGCACCACCAGGAGUGGAGCCUGCGGCU
rnacentral:rRNA from 1 species